rnacentral:rRNA from 1 species
UACGUAGGGCGCAAGCGUUGUCCGGAAUUAUUGGGCGUAAAGAGCUCGUAGGCGGCUUGUCGCGUCGACUGUGAAAACCCGAGGCUCAACUUCGGGCUUGCAGUCGAUACGGGCAGGCUAGAGUUCGGUAGGGGAGACUGGAAUUCCUGGUGUAGCGGUGAAAUGCGCAGAUAUCAGGAGGAACACCGAUGGCGAAGGCAGGUCUCUGGGCCGAUACUGACGCUGAGGAGCGAAAGCGUGGGGAGCGAACAGG